UACGGGGGGGGCAAGCGUUGUUCGGAAUUACUGGGCGUAAAGGGCUCGUAGGCGGCCAACUAAGUCGGACGUGAAAUCCCUCGGCUCAACCGGGGAACUGCGUCCGAUACUGGAUGGCUUGAGUUCGGGAGAGGGAUGCGGAAUUCCAGGUGUAGCGGUGAAAUGCGUAGAUAUCUGGAGGAACACCGGUGGCGAAGGCGGCAUCCUGGACCAAUAUUGACGCUGAGGAGCGAAAGCCAGGGGAGCAAACGGG
rnacentral:rRNA from 1 species